CAAUCCUUCGGUUGGAGUUUGCAAAAGUUCCUCUACCGGUUGUGAGCUUCGAUCCUAACCGAUCGAGCUUUAAAGUGGCACGCUCUGCGGGUGACCUAACCUGAACGAACAUAGUAGAAUCAAUUCAACCUGUUCAAUUAAGGAAUGGCCAGCUCCGCCUGAACAAGAACCUAUUUUUCUAAG
rnacentral:misc_RNA from 1 species